rnacentral:rRNA from 1 species
ACGUAGGGUGCGAGCGUUAAUCGGAAUUACUGGGCGUAAAGCGUGCGCAGGCGGCUUUGCAAGACAGAUGUGAAAUCCCCGGGCUUAACCUGGGAACUGCAUUUGUGACUGCAAGGCUAGAGUACGGCAGAGGGGGAUGGAAUUCCGCGUGUAGCAGUGAAAUGCGUAGAUAUGCGGAGGAACACCGAUGGCGAAGGCAAUCCCCUGGGCCUGUACUGACGCUGAGGAGCGAAAGCGUGGGGAGCGAACAGGA